AAAAUAAAUAAAUAAAUAAAUAAAUAAUAAGAAGAAAGAGAGGCAGGGCGCUGCGCACCUCGCCGAUCAUGCGGGGACGUUGUAGUCUCUUAACGGCUCACCGCUCUCUGGUUGCCUGGCUGCAGGGCUACAAUUCCAUCAGGCACCGGGCUCAGUGGGAGGGGCAGGGUGGUGUGGCAAUGCAGUGUUGCCCGCUCACCCCCUGCUGCCCCUUGUCCAUGGGGAGUGAGUUUGGAGAGGAAUAUGAGGGAUAAAACUGGGCUGAACAGUGAGAAGGGUGUGACUUCUCGAAGUACACCUCGCUUUUGCACAAAUCUGGCAGGUCCCACCUCCGGCUGAGCAACUCGGUUUCCUCUCUUUAUCCUUGCCCGCUGGUCUUUCCACAGCAUCGCGCCUCCUCCAGCCGAUGGAGCCGCCUGCUUUCCUAAACUACUGCAGAAACUGGCCUGAUGUCUGUCUGAGACAUUGUACAUUGUGCCACCGGCCUCUGCUUACUCCGGGCAGAGCGCCAGUUCAGCAGCAUUUGGGAGAGAUUUGCUGCCUGGGCCGCCCGUGUACAACUUCAGCUUUGCAGUGGGUAACAUGGGCUGUGGUUUGGUGAAAAUGUCAACCUCACUGACCCCUUUUUCGUGGAAGUGGAAGUCGAGACAUGAGGGAGAGUUGUAUUGUGCCAUACACCUGGGACCCAAUUAUAAGCACAAUGAUGAAUCUUUUACCUGGAAUCAAGACAUGUGCAGGAUGGUGGGACUUAUCACUGGACCUUUCCCAGUGUUAUUGUGACAUAUGCCUUUGUCCAAUAUGUGGUGAUUUGACUCUCAGACUGGGCCCAGUUCGCAAAUAAAAUUGUGCCAUAUACAUGGGCCAAGAACCAAAGAGGUGUAACUCAUGCGCCCGGGCCCUGCUCUCAGAAAGAUAGUGGCAUUACACUGCACCCAGCACCUAAGAGAUGUGAUUCUCCUCUUCUACAUGGGGCCUGCCUACAGCGACACUUGUGACAUAUCAAUGAGCUCAGCACUCAGGUGAUAUGACUUUCAUUUUUCUUUCUGGGCCCUGCCACAUGGAUAAUUGUGACAUAUCACUGGCCCCAACUAUCAGGUGAUGUGACUGUCUUGUUUGGGAUCUGUUAACAAACGGCAUUGUGACAUA